AGCCUGGUGCACCAAGAUGGAGGCACAGACAUGGGGCUACCUAUUCCUGUUCCUCUGGAUGUCUGGUGUUGAGGGAAACAUUGUGAUGACCCAGUCUCCUGAAUUCAUGACCACAUCUGUAGGAGACAGGAUUACCUUAAGCUGCAAGUCCAGUCAGAAUGUGGAUAGUGCUGUAGCUUUGUACCAACAGAAAUCAGGUCAAACUCCUAAACUCCUAAUUUAUGAUGCAUCCACUCGAUACACUGGGGUCCCUGAUCGCUUCACAGGCAGUGAAUCUGGGACAGAUUACACUCUCAGCAUCUGCAGUGUGCAGGCUGAAGACCUGGCAGUUUACUACUGUCAGCAGCAUUAUGCCUAUCCUCCCACAGUGCUUCAACCUCCAACACAAACAUCCUUGAGAGUCUCACCAGCUGCCUGCACCACACGCAACCCUGGCUCUGCACACUUCCUCUUUCUGCCUGAGAUUUGUUAUGCAUGA